UACGUAGGGGGGCUAGCGUUGUCCGGAUUUAUUGGGCGUAAAGAGCGUGUAGGCGGCCAAGUAGGUCCGGUGUGAAAACUCGAGGCUUAACCUCGAGAUGUCAUCGGAAACCAUUUGGCUAGAGUCCGGAAGAGGAAAGUGGAAUUCCUGGUGUAGCGGUGAAAUGCGCAGAUAUCAGGAAGAACACCAAUGGCGAAAGCAGCUUUCCGUAGGG
rnacentral:rRNA from 1 species